CCUACGGGCGGCUGCAGUGGGGAAUUUUGCACAAUGGACGCAAGUCUGAUGCAGCAACGCCGCGUGGAGGAAGAAGAUUUUCGGAUUGUAAACUCCUUUUGUGAGGGAAUAAUUUUUGAAGGUACCUCACGAAUAAGCACCGGCUAACUCCGUGCCAGCAGCCGCGGUAAUACGGAGGGUGCAAACGUUGUCCGGAAUUACUGGGCGUAAAGCGCAUGUAGGUGGUUUGGUAAGUGGGUGAUGAAAGACCGACGCCUAACGUCGGGAACGUUACCUAUACUGCCUUACUUGAGGAAGACAGGGGUACGUGGAAUUUUGAGUGUAGGGGUAAAAUCCGUAGAUACUCAAAAGAACACCAAUGGCGAAGGCAGCGUACUGGGUCUUUUCUGACACUGAGAUGCGAAAGCGUGGGGAGCGAACGGGCUUAGAUACCCCAGUAGUC
rnacentral:rRNA from 1 species